ensembl:snRNA U6 U6 spliceosomal RNA
GUGCUCGCUUCAGCAGCACAUAUACUAAAAUUGGAACGAUACAGAGAAGAUUAGCAUGGUCCCUGCGCAAAGAUGAUGCGCAAAUUCGUGAGGCGUUCCAUAUUUUA